UUCCCUCACAACAACAAAAUUAGGCAACUUUUUAAUUUUGGCCCCAAAAUUUUUCACUACUUUUUAGUUUCCCACCAAAAUUUGACCCCAUUACAUUUCAGCAAAAUAGUUUUGCUUCCCCCAAAAUUAGACCCCAUUACAUUUCAGCAAAGUAGCUUUACUUUCCCCAAAAUUAGACUCUUCUAAGCUUCGACUCAGUUAAUUUCUCGGUGAUUUCAGCAAAGUAGCCAGUCGUUCACUUCGACUCCGUUGUCAUCUUCACUAAGAGGUUUAGUUUUUCUCUAUUAACCAAAACUUACAGUGAAUAGCUUUUGGAUCUUCAUAUUGGGUCCUUCAAUUCUUGCCCAAAUUUGUCUCUGAUUUCCUAUAAAACUUCAACAACCUCCAUUUUCAAUCAAGGAUCAAGAGGAGAAGGCAAAGAGGAGUUCUUUCUUCAAGGUUUGCAUUUUAUAGAGCUUCUUACUUCUUUUUGUUGAUUUGUUGGACUUGAUGAAGAGACUUUGGCGCGAUCACUCAUGUAAGUAUUUGGCGGCACUUUCCGGGUAACUAAUAUUCAUCAUAGAAUCAAGUGAGUUUAGGAUAACUAGAAUUCUUGAAACUUGACUAAAGAGUUUUUUUAGUUGAUUUUGCUUUUCAUUUUCUUAUAUUCAAAGAAAAUUGUUUCAUUAUUGAUACAGGUGGAUCUGUUGGAGUACAUUAGUUUAUUUGAAUUUGCUAAGUUUAGAGCAUGAAAAGAACAAUGCAAACUAAGAUAGUUAAUUAGUCUAGCUUACCUACCUUAGCAGAUGUUUUUGGUAAUAGGAUGCUGGUCCUAAUUCACGGUUAAGAGAAUUCAUUAAUUCAAUUCAAUUACAAUCUAUUGUUGGACUACAUUUCAUUUUAGAUGGUAAGUUGCUUCUAUUUUAAAAUCUUCUAGAGAUGGACUUUGUUUGACUUGAAAAUAAGUAGGUUUGGUAUGUGUGCUGCUAGUAUGGGGGUUAUUUCAACAUUUCAUUGAGUCGGAGGGCAUUUCAACCAUUUAUCUUCAGAAAUGGAGGAAUGGUAGUUAUGCCACCCAAUUGUUCGAUGAAAUGACUCAAAGAAAUUUGGAUGUGUUAAAGUCUGAGUGGCCUUAAUUUAUGAAAAUCCCCAGUAUGUGAAGGGGGGAGGGGGUGUGAGUCCAAAUGAUUUUCUAUUCAUGUCAAGGGGUGUUCAUUUUUAGUGUUAUUAGUUAGAAAUACAUCUGAAUGAUGUUUUGAGAAUAAGAAAUACAUCAAUCCCAUUUUUAAACUAAAAAAAAUGAAAAGAAAUUGUUUUACAUGGAGAUUAAUAUACAAGUUCAGAAUGAAAAUUGAUCACUUUUCCAUAUCCUUUUAAGGCUUUCUGUUAAGUGUUUCAGUUAAUAGUAAUGAGAGCUAUGUAGUUCUAAUUGUUUCUGGUGAAAGAAAAAAAGGUACUUUAUAUGUAGUAAAGAUUAUUUCUUGAGAAUGCUAGUUAAAAGUUUUUAAGUUAAAAGAUUGUUAUGACUUUAUUGACAAGGCUGAGUGGUUGGGUCCCAACUUUAUAUCUUCAAGUUAAAAGAUUGUUUCCUUUUUUGCUCUGUUCUGAUUCAUCUAUUUUUUAACUAGAUUUCUUGAUGGUUUUUUUAAGAAAGGUUAAAGGAGAAUUGAAUUUUGUCCUUCCUCUGUCAGAUGGGAGAUGCAUCGUUGACUUGAUAGACAUUAAGCACUUAACUGGUCAUAUUCAUAUUUCUCCUUAAUGUUCCGUAACCUGAAAAUCAUGGUUUAGGUCUGGAACAUACAUCAUUGACUUUAUUGACAUUUAAUAGUUUACUGAUCAUAUCCGUAUUUCUCAUUGUCAAUGACUACAAAGAUAGCAAAGCGUUACAUGUACUUUUUGCUAUGUAGAGUGCAUUUUUUCUGAUUAUGAGAGGGCGAUUAUAUCUUUUGACUAAGUCCAAAUGGUUUCAUCAAAUUAAUCGAUUGAUCCAUUUUUGUAUUUCUGGGUGUCGCGUCUUGUAUCUUUGCUAGUAGGGUUGUAGUAAAGUUGUUUGAUUUGUUAUGUUAGUGAAGCGUAAUAUAACUAAUGGAAAAUUGCCUUUAAAGGCAAUAAAGUUAAUCACCUUCCUACAUUUUUAUUAAUUUGAGAAGUGAAAAAGUUUACUUUGAAAUUUAUUGACAUGUCAUAUAGUUAUUGCAUGUUUCGUGACAAUGUAUCGUGUGGUUGGAUAUUCUCAUAGGGAAUAAAAUUGCAUGACUUUGGUAAGCAUCUUGGUGAGCUAUUUUAGCCGAAAGUCUAAUCGUUUCUAUUGACAGGGUAUAACAAGGUUUCUCUUAGCGCUAAUUCCACAUUAAUACAAAAGUACUUGACGCCCUCCCCCUCUUUUCUCUGAGGUGGUGCUGAUCUUAUAAUCAUAAGCAAGUGUUUGAGAUACAAUUGUCCUCUACUUUCUGGUGAUUAAAUUUCUCAAGAUUAGGAAUUUGUUCAACUUUUCAAUUGUGGUUCACUAGUUUAAGAUAAUUAUGUCAUAUUUUUGUCAUAUACAAAAGAUUGACCAUGUUGUCCUGGUGCAUUGUGCACAUUUCAAUUUAUUUUGGGCAUAAUUGUAUGAUGAUAGCAUUGACUUGAUGUCGACCAUUUGCUAUUAUCUUAUCUCUUACCUUUGAUACAACAUAAUAAUUAUUUUGAUAAGUGAUCUGAGGCUAAAACAGAGCAGGUGAUGUAAGAGACUAGAGCAUCGUUCUCUAACAAUGCAUAGAGGAGGAGAUUUCAAGUUUGAGCAAACAGAGAGAAGGUUGGUUACAUUAUGUGGAGGAGCGAUUUAUGCGUGCAUGAUGAGUAAGAUGGCAUUAUCAUUCCUUCUUCGAUUCUCGUCCCUUCGAUACAGACUCUUCGGAUGCUUUAGUGGUUACUAAUGUUAGACUUUUGUUAACUUUAUACUCAGUCUUUAGAAUUUCUAGAUUUUUAUAGAAGAAUUUACGGAUUUUUAAUUUUUAAAUUGAUUUGUAAUAUAUUUCAUAGUAUGAAAGUUACAUUUUUGUUAUUGUUAAUUAUUUUGUGCUUUUAGCUAA